CUCACCUAUAACAAUGGCCUAUACAUGGUAUGAAGUAAGGAAUUAAAACUUCAAAAGAAAAAUAUAUUUUUAGUAGAUCUCUACCAAAAAAAUGUUUGGCCGCCAUUGGUUGUAUCGAUUUUCCCAGUAUUCCUAUGUUUUUUCCGGUUUUCUCAUGUUUUAUCCCGGUUUUUUACAUUUGCUGGGAAAACUUUUAGGAAAAUCGAUAUUUAUCUAUUUUAUAUAUUUUUUUUAAAACUAUAACUACAAAAAUAAUUUUUAUAAAAUCUUAGAUAGCUGUUUUAUAAAUAUAUUUUGAAAUAAAACUAUAGUGUUAAAAA